ACCCGUGUCUAUCGUACCUUGUUGCUUCGGCGGGCCCGCCGUUUCGACGGCCGCCGGGGAGGCCUCGCGCCCCCGGGCCCGCGCCCGCCGAAGACCCCAACAUGAACGCUGUUCUGAAAGUAUGCAGUCUGAGUUGAUUAUCAUAAUCAGUUAAAACUUUCAACAACGGAUCUCUUGGUUCCGGCAUCGAUGAAGAACGCAGCGAAAUGCGAUAAGUAAUGUGAAUUGCAGAAUUCAGUGAAUCAUCGAGUCUUUGAACGCACAUUGCGCCCCCUGGUAUUCCGGGGGGCAUGCCUGUCCGAGCGUCAUUGCUGCCCUCAAGCACGGCUUGUGUGUUGGGCCCCGUCCCCUCCCCCGGGGACGGGCCCGAAAGGCAGCGGCGGCACCGCGUCCGGUCCUCGAGCGUAUGGGGCUUUGUCACCCGCUCUGUAGGCCCGGCCGGCGCCAGCCGACACCCAACUUUAUUUUCUAAGGUUGACCUCGGAUCAGGUAGGGAUACCCGCUGAACUUAAGCAAUC
rnacentral:rRNA from 1 species